UGAGUAACACGUAUCCAACCUGCCGUCUACUCUUGGACAGCCUUCUGAAAGGAAGAUUAAUACAAGAUGGCAUCAUGAGUCCGCAUGUUCGCAUGAUUAAAGGUAUUCCGGUAGACGAUGGGGAUGCGUUCCAUUAGAUAGUAGGCGGGGUAACGGCCCACCUAGUCUUCGAUGGAUAGGGGUUCUGAGAGGAAGGUCCCCCACAUUGGAACUGAGACACGGUCCAA
rnacentral:rRNA from 1 species